rnacentral:rRNA from 1 species
AGGACGAACGCUGGCGGCGUGCCUAGCACAUGCAAGUCGAACGAGGUCCAACCGGUAGCAAUACCGGUGAAGAUCAAGUGGCGAACGGGUGAGUAGCACGUGAGCAACCUGCCCCGAAGACCGGGACAACACCGGGAAACCGGUGCUAAUACCGGAUAUCCCCACCGAGUCGCAUGGCUUGGUGAGGAAAUGGAUUCCGCUUCGGGAGGGGCUCGCGGCCUAUCAGCUUGUUGGUGAGGUAACGGCUCACCAAGGCUUCGACGGGUAGCUGGUCUGAGAGGACGAUCAGCCACACUGGGACUGAGACACGGCCCAGACUCCUACGGGAGGCAGCAGUGGGGAAUCUUGCACAAUGGGCGAAAGCCUGAUGCAGCAACGCCGCGUGAGGGACGAAGGCUUUCUGAGUUGUAAACCUCUUUCAGCAGGGACGAUUGUGACGGUACCUGCAGAAGAAGCCCGGCAACUACGUGCCAGCAGCCGCGGUAAUCUGA